rnacentral:lncRNA from 1 species
UUUUUUACUUUAGAACAUAGGCUAAAGAGCUCCCUGAGAGACUUCAUUUCUGAGAAGGAAAUCUGCGCAGCCUCCUGAGCUGAUACCCCCACAACAGGAACUCCAAGGAGGAAUUUUAGCUGGAUACUAUCUGUGACGGAUCACUUCCCUUCACCUGGGAGCUGACAUCAUCAGGGCUUUUGAAGCAAGAUGGGAAAGCCUGUAUGGAUAGAGCGUCCUUUUUGCCUUAUGAUGUCACUGAGAUAAGAAAUGCAAGAAUUCCAGUAAGUCAGGUGUCCAAACCCCAUCUCCCUCUGAAAUGCCUCAUUGUUUGCUGUUGGCUCAGAAGCAUGAAAAGCACGCUGACGGCAUGA